UCUAAUAUGGCAGAAUAGUGCAUUGGAUUUAAGCUCCAAAUAUAAAGAAAAAUCUUUUAUUAGAA
rnacentral:tRNA from 2 species